UUGCUCACGUUGGUAGCACAUCUACUCAAAUUGGAAUGAUAUGGGGAUUAGCAUGGUCCCUGCACAAGGAUGAUAGGAAUAGUCACGAAGUGUUUUGCUUUUCU
ensembl:snRNA U6 U6 spliceosomal RNA